CGCGACUCCGGAAUUGACGCGUCACACGUGUAUGUCAUGGUCUUGCUGUGGAAAUACUUAUUUCUCCUUGCAGCAUUGAACUUUUUCAAAGCUUCCUGAUUUGUUACAAAGUUGUGGCGGUAUAUUUUUACUGUCUCAGAAUGUUUUGAAUGUGUUGGUAAACGGCGUGUUUGGUGUGGAGUAGAAUGCAUUUUAAAUAGCUGCAUUAAACAGUAACGUUAAUGUGACUAACAUUAGGUUGAGCCAGAGCUGCUAUAACUUCCUCAAGUUGAUCUUCUGCAGUUGUUGUAUGAUCGUUUGAAGUAAUUAGACAAUUAAUUUAUGACACACAUCUGCAUUUGUCGUCUUGUCUCGGAUCAAAUCAUGGUUGUAAAGAAGAAAGCAAUCAAGCAAGUGGAGGCUGUCGCAUUGAAUGAUGUCAAGCUGGAGAUCCUGACAGGUGAGUGACUGAAAUCAACAUUAGCGUUUCUUUUCACCAAACUGCCAGCUGAGAACCCACCUAUGAGAGCUGUGGCAAGGUUAAAAGUACACAUUUGGAGAUAUUGACUUCUGUGUGUUUUGUUUACAAAUAUAUGUAUCUGUUAACACACUGGCAUCAUCUUUUUCUUCUCCACUAGUGCACAAGGUAGUGGUCCAGAUUGGCUGCAGGAGCAGACUGUUGGAUGUCUCUCUGAGAGCCUGUCUGUCCUCUAUGAGCACUGAUCACUAAUCGCACUUAACAGAAAGCAUUACUUCCUGUCUGGAUAGCUUUAAGAUAGAGACCUCUGCUGGCCUCCGGAGAGUCCUGCAGGAGAUUCAACCUCGCUACACAAAUGACUUUUUCCACUAGAGCCAGAGAGCUGGACCUCAGUGGAAGCAAGCCGUGACAGUGAGCAGAAAGAGCCAGAGAAUGCAGUUUAUAAACCACAAUCCUCUAAUAGCGGUGGCCGUGAUGGACAGGCCAAUCGAGUCACCGCUCAGAAGUUGCUGGAGGGCCAUGAACGAUGUGUUCAUGUUGCUGGGGCAUCUGUGUCUUUCACACACGCUGACGACAGAGGACCAGGUCAGACACAGACACACACUCCACAGGUGUCACCUGAGCUAGCAUUCAUUGUCUGACACACACGCACGCACUCAUCUCAAAGAUAAAACCCUUAUGAAGGAAGCCACCGAGCAUCCCUGAAGCAGAUCUCUCGGUUACAUAAGAUAUAAUGGAGAACUGUACCUCAUAAGGUUGAGUGGAGACUUUUUCCAGUAAGCUGAUCUUUUUCAGCUCCGGGCCGAGAGAUGAGACAUCAUGACAAUUGCUAAUACAGACUUAAAUACGGUCUAGAGAACAGCCCUCGAAGAGGCGUCAGGAAAUGUGAUCACGGUGAAUACAACAUCAUCUGCCAUAAAACUGAGCCUGGCGGCCAUUAAACAGAAAAUAUCAGACAUAUUUCCAGUACAGACACAAAGACCGUUCUAAACCCUAGAGAGUCAGCUUCCUUCUAAGAUAGCACCCUGUCGAAAAUAUGCCUUAAAGCUUGAAAGUAAGGAAAUAAUGAUAAUCAUAAUAACUGAAUAAUGUUGGUAGCCAGAGGCUUCCAUUGUAUUUUUUCCCUACUUUGGAAGUCAAUGGCUGUUUGGUUCCAAAUAUUCUUUGAAAUAUUCGCUUCAGUGUUCAAAAGCUGAAAGAUAUUCAUACAGGUUUGGAACAACAUGAGGGUGAGCAAACACUUCCUUCCUUCCUUCCUUUCCUGUUGCAAUGCAUUAUUGGAUUUACAUAUUCAUGAAGGAUGCAUAAUAUGCUGCCUUUGUAUUUGGUUAAAAUGAGGUUUGUUCGACGGUACUCUGAUUUUGCUCCAUGUGGUUCAGGACAGUCUUUGCAUCAGAAGUGUGCCUUCAGCAGGGAAGUUGUUUUCCGUCGGCAGUAGUUUAAACCAUAUGAAUGUAUAUGUAGUCUCCUAC
ensembl:lncRNA